rnacentral:rRNA from 1 species
AUAACGACUCUCGGCAAUGGAUAUCUAGGCUCUCGCAUCGAUGAAGAACGUAGCGAAAUGCGAUACUUGGUGUGAAUUGCAGAAUCCCGUGAACCAUCGAGUUUUUGAACGCAAGUUGCGCCCGAAGCCGUUAGGCCGAGGGCACGUCUGCCUGGGCGUCACGC